AAACUACUCAUAUAUACACUUCAAUUUCAUAAUCAUCAAUAUAACCCCCAUCCAAACAAUAUAAUAUAUUAAAAAUAUGUAGAACACCCCCACCCAAAAUUUUUCUGUUUGAAAAGAAGAAAGAAAAAUACGCCUUUCCUUUAUAUUCUCUUUCAAUUUCUGCCUUACACUUUGUGAUAUUUCCUUGUUUAUGCUACCAAACAAGUCCUAGCCAAAGAGCUUUGAGGGUCCUUUUUGCUUUUCUCAUAUGAGGUUGAAGAAACUUUG
rnacentral:lncRNA from 1 species